UUGAACGCUGGCGGCAGGCCUAACACAUGCAAGUCGAGCGGUAGCACAGAGAGCUUGCUCUCGGGUGACGAGCGGCGGACGGGUGAGUAAUGUCUGGGAAACUGCCUGAUGGAGGGGGAUAACUACUGGAAACGGUAGCUAAUACCGCAUAACGUCGCAAGACCAAAGUGGGGGACCUUCGGGCCUCAUGCCAUCAGAUGUGCCCAGAUGGGAUUAGCUAGUAGGUGGGGUAACGGCUCACCUAGGCGACGAUCCCUAGCUGGUCUGAGAGGAUGACCAGCCACACUGGAACUGAGACACGGUCCAGACUCCUACGGGAGGCAGCAGUGGGGAAUAUUGCACAAUGGGCGCAAGCCUGAUGCAGCCAUGCCGCGUGUGUGAAGAAGGCCUUCGGGUUGUAAAGCACUUUCAGCGGGGAGGAAGGCGAUAAGGUUAAUAACCUCAUCGAUUGACGUUACCCGCAGAAGAAGCACCGGCUAACUCCGUGCCAGCAGCCGCGGUAAUACGGAGGGUGCAAGCGUUAAUCGGAAUUACUGGGCGUAAAGCGCACGCAGGCGGUCUGUCAAGUCGGAUGUGAAAUCCCCGGGCUCAACCUGGGAACUGCAUUCGAAACUGGCAGGCUAGAGUCUUGUAGAGGGGGGUAGAAUUCCAGGUGUAGCGGUGAAAUGCGUAGAGAUCUGGAGGAAUACCGGUGGCGAAGGCGGCCCCCUGGACAAAGACUGACGCUCAGGUGCGAAAGCGUGGGGAGCAAACAGGAUUAGAUACCCUGGUAGUCCACGCCGUAAACGAUGUCGAUUUGGAGGUUGUGCCCUUGAGGCGUGGCUUCCGGAGCUAACGCGUUAAAUCGACCGCCUGGGGAGUACGGCCGCAAGGUUAAAACUCAAAUGAAUUGACGGGGGCCCGCACAAGCGGUGGAGCAUGUGGUUUAAUUCGAUGCAACGCGAAGAACCUUACCUGGUCUUGACAUCCACAGAACUUUCCAGAGAUGGAUUGGUGCCUUCGGGAACUGUGAGACAGGUGCUGCAUGGCUGUCGUCAGCUCGUGUUGUGAAAUGUUGGGUUAAGUCCCGCAACGAGCGCAACCCUUAUCCUUUGUUGCCAGCGGUUCGGCCGGGAACUCAAAGGAGACUGCCAGUGAUAAACUGGAGGAAGGUGGGGAUGACGCCAAGUCAUCAUGGCCCUUACGACCAGGGCUACACACGUGCUACAAUGGCAUAUACAAAGAGAAGCGACCUCGCGAGAGCAAGCGGACCUCAUAAAGUAUGUCGUAGUCCGGAUUGGAGUCUGCAACUCGACUCCAUGAAGUCGGAAUCGCUAGUAAUCGUAGAUCAGAAUGCUACGGUGAAUACGUUCCCGGGCCUUGUACACACCGCCCGUCACACCAUGGGAGUGGGUUGCAAAAGAAGUAGGUAGCUUAACCUUCGGGAGGGCGCUUACCACUUUGUGAUUCAUGACUGGGGUG
rnacentral:rRNA from 1 species